AUCAUCAGCACCUUCGACCGCAUCGGCCCCGCCGGUACCCCAGCACACUUAUGAAGCGUCACCGAGCUACCGCCAAGAUGACAGAGCUUCAGUCUCGCGACAGAGUGAGUGUAAGGUACCGAACUUCUAAAAUCAUGAGGUUACGGUGUCCAUUUGGUUGGAGAGCCAUUUGAAUGGUUCCGGUAAGGUUGCGGUGUAAUGUAAUAUACCGGAUUUAAAUAUAAAAAAUAAAAAUAAAUAAAAAUAGUAUGAGAUACUAUUUUUAUUGGAUUUGGAGAAGUNGGAGAGUAGAUGAUGUAUAGGUGUGAGGCUAUUUUGGAAAUGUAAACUUAAGUUUAUGCUUUGGAUGAAUGUAAAGCUAAGUUGAAAUUAAAUGUAUUAGAGUUGAAUGGAUGUAAUAGCUUAGUAUCUCUCUUUUAUUCGCUUGUUUAUUACUUGUGAUGCUUGCUCUUGAUUGUUAGCACUGGUUGUGCUCUCGUCGU
rnacentral:lncRNA from 1 species